rnacentral:rRNA from 1 species
UAUUGGUCAAUGGCCUAACGGCUGAACCAGCAAUUUGGGGGAAUGGAUUUUCGACUAUGUCGUAUAAAGUUCUAAAUAGAUAAUUGAUGAUGACAAACGUCUAUUUACAUGUCUUGACCAAAUCUUGUGCCAGCAGUCGCGGUAAUACAAGUCAGACUAGUGUUAUUCAUCUUUAUUAGGUUUAAAGGGUACCUAGACAGUCUAUCUCGCCUGCUUAUUAUAGCGAAGGAACAGAUUUAUGACUAGAGUUUUAUGGGAGAGGUAAAUAUUAGGAAGAGCAGUGUAGAGAUAAAAUUUUUUAAUACUCUUAGGACGUAUAACGGCGAAGGCAAACCUCUAUGUAAAAACUGACGUUAAGGGACGAAGGCUUGGGUAGCGAAAAGGAUUAGAUACCCUUGUAGUCCAUGCAGAAAAUUAUGAAUGUUAUAUAUUAAAAAAGUUUUGGUGUAUAAAUGAAAGUGUAAGCAUUCCACCUCAAGAGUAAUGUGGCAACGCUGGAACUGAAAUCAUUAGGCCGUAUCUGAAACCAGUAGUGAAGUAUGUUAUUUA